CAAUUUAUUUUACAUUUAUUAUACAUUUAUUCUUUCACCUAGAUUCACCACUUGUCGACUAUAUUGUGAUUAUCAAAAUAUCCAAUGCACGGUCGAGUUAUUCUAUUCUACAGAAAAUUUUCGUUAAAGCGGUUGUUGCAAAAAUCUAAGCUGCUAAGAGGAAAGUAGAACGGAACGACUGGUUCACGUUGCAUCACACCGUUGCCCGCGUUUAGCGAAUUUUAAAUUGCACCGCCAAAUCUGCAUCGUUCCAUUGAGGAGGCGUCAGAAUCUGAUUAGCCACUUGUACGAUUCGUCGAGGAUCAUUCACGCUUGUGGAAAGCGAUACCUGUCAGGGUGACGUAAAAACCCAACGUUCCGUUAAAACUAAGUGUACACACUUAUUUAACGAUUUAACGUUUCGUGGAACGUUGUGUGCAGAUCGUUAAGUAGCCUCUGUUGAUUUCUUAAUUUAAACAUAUUACAUAUGUACAUUAAUAUGCAAUCCAUCUAAAGCGGUAGUCCUGACCGUGUUUCAAUGGAAAUUGGAUUACUGGAUAUCUUAAGAUGGUGAUAUGGUACAGAUGCAGGCUAGUAUCGAAGAUCAGCUCUCGAGUGGAUGAAAAAGUUCUUGGUCUGGUGCAGGUCAUGGAAAUUUGGUUGAUGAUGACGGUAGAGUGAAGUGGAAGGUUUUUGGAAGCGUAAAACGUGCCGCUAUUUAUGUGGGAUUAGAUUUCAGUGAAUAUAGAAAAAAAAAAGAAUGUUCAGUGAAAUUUUAGAGAUCAAUUUUCUUAAGUAACAAAUAGUGCUUCGCAUAAGAAAUAGACAAAAAAAGAUAAAUGGAAAGUUACAAUAAAAACAAAUAAACAAAAACAGUAUGUUCAA